GUGUGGUGAGUGUGAUGUCAAUUGCUGUAGGUGUCUGUAGAUGGGAGAUGGGAUAGCGGGUAGGUUGAUUGUCGUUAAGAGAAUUGAGGUUUUGUGUGCUUAGCCAGUCGGCUAGGCGGGUGCCGUUUAAAUCAGUGUGGGGUCUUGUGCCCCACAGUGGAUGGUGU